CCCAGGCCGGGGAGCCUUUCUGAAAGGAGGUUGCACAACGCAGGGCAGGCCCUCUGCUUUGCUUUGCGGUCGUGGUUUCUCGGAAGCCCCAGGGGCCCAUCCAGGAGAACGCCCAUGUUCCCUCGCUUUAUCCGCUGCUCCUUCCCAAGGGGAUUUCAUUUCCUUUAUUAUUUUCCACAGUUGGCUGCUCUGAGUCAGGUGCCCAAGACCCAGCCUGGGUCGAAUGGUUUCCAACACCCUAACACCUUUCUCACCAGCAGCACGUUGCGGUGGGGAGACCCCCGGCCUUGUGCGCACACAGAAUUUUGUUCCCGUUCCAGGUGAUUCUGUCGUGACAAGUUCCUUCUUUUAAUGUUCAUUCCUCAUCUCCAAAGCCAGAGCAAGAUCUUCUCUGGGAAACUGUUGUGUGGAGGAAACCUAGCUUGGCCGGCGCCCAGUAGGUAAAUGAGUAAAUGCAAAUCAAAUAGAGCUCGUAAAUUUUGUGGCUCGUCUUCUGCUUUUGUUUUUGUUUUGUCUCCCUUUUUCCCUAACAGUUUUUCAGCCUACCGUGUCGAUGGGGACCCAAAGGAAUGCUUCAAGAAUGUGAGAGUCGUGACUGAGUACAAGCUUGCUAAAAAUCACUUUUGCAAGACUCAAUUUGACCAGGCAGUGUCAACGACAUGAAACUCCUAAGGAAAUGUGCUAAAUUGACCCUGAAAUAGAGAUCUGUUGCCUCCCAGUCUCCAUUACCAAUUCCUUGUCUCUGCUAACCCUCCAAGAGCAAAGAUGAUGCCAGAUUGAGUUUCUUCCAUCUGUGCUCUGCACCUGUGUACACACACACACACACACACACACAUGCAUUCCUGGUUCAUCUCCCAGGAUGAGAACUCUGUGUGGUUGUUUGUUUGCUGUUACUCAUCGCUUCAUCCUCAGCAACUGCUGGAGAAAAAAAAAAGAAACAAAACCAAGACGAAACAGAAAAUUGGUGACAGAUGAACAGACACGUCACCAAGGAAGAUGGGCCAAUGGCAAACAAGCGCAUGAAAAGAUGCCCAAGAUCAUGUCACCAGGGAAAUGCAAAUGAAAACAACAAGAUACCAGUGCACAGUUCUUUUUUUUUUUUUAAGAUUUUAUUUAUUUAUUCAUGAGAGACACAGAGA